GUAGGUGGCAAGCGUUGUCCGGAAUUAUUGGGCGUAAAGAGCGCGCAGGUGGUUCUUUAAGUCUGAUGUGAAAGCCCCCGGGCUCAACCGGGGAGGGUCAUUGGAAACUGGGGAACUUGAGUGCAGGAGAGGAAAGUGGAAUUCCACGUGUAGCGGUGAAAUGCGUAGAUAUGUGGAGGAACACCAGUGGCGAAGGCGACUUUCUGACCUGUAACUGACACUGAGGCGCGAAAGCGUGGGGAGCAAACAGGAUUAGAUACCCUGGUAGUCCACGCCGUAAACGAUGAGUGCUAAGUGUUGGGGGGUUUCCGCCCCUCAGUGCUGCAGCUAACGCAUUAAGCACUCCGCCUGGGGAGUACGGUCGCAAAGACUG
rnacentral:rRNA from 1 species